UACGAAGGGUGCAAGCGUUACUCGGAAUUACUGGGCGUAAAGCGUGCGUAGGUGGUGAGUUAAGUCUGUCGUGAAAGCCCCGGGCUCAACCUGGGAAUGGCGAUGGAUACUGGCUCGCUAGAGUGCGGUAGAGGAGAGUGGAAUUCCCGGUGUAGCAGUGAAAUGCGUAGAGAUCGGGAGGAACAUCAGUUGCGAAGGCGGCUCUCUGGACCAGCACUGACACUGAGGCACGAAAGCCAGGGGAGCAAACGGG
rnacentral:rRNA from 1 species